CCACCUGAGGUGGAUUCCAAGAUAUUGCGAGACGCAAAAUUCAAGCCAGCGUAAAAGAUUUGUAUAAUCAUCCACCACCUCAAGCCAUGAACGGGACAAUUUCUAAUCAUUAACUUCAUUCUCUCCCAAGAUUGUGCAACGUGUUCAUGAUCAAGUUGCUUGAAAUUCAUGAUAUCGUUACGUAAGGAGAUAAUCUUAGUCGGCGGAAAAUACUUGGAUAUGUAAGCAUCUUUGCACUUAUCCCAAGAAUCGAUACUAUUUUUAGGCAAAGAAGAAAACCAAGUUUUUGCGCGAUUUCAUAACAAGAUUCAACAAAGCUGCGUUGAUUUCAUACGAUUCCGCACUAGUGGCGGGAGCAAUCGGAGUACUAAUAAAAUCAUUAUUAUUGGUAAUCGAGAAGUCGCAAAAUUUGGUGUUUUCAGCCAUGAGGACUUCAACAAACAAACAAGCACACAA
rnacentral:lncRNA from 1 species